AAGGCAAACAAAGAAAAAAAACAAGGAGGGGACAGACUAGGUCAAAAACAGGGGAUAGACGAACAAACAAAUCAGGAGGGUCCGCAGACAUCUCAGGGCAGUCCAGUAAAGACACGCAGCAGCAGAAGGGACAAAUAAUAUUCAACCUUUCUUCUACACCUCUUACAGACACCCAGGUCCAGGUGCUAGGUGAUCCGGCAGCGUCUGGGGCUGAGCAAUUGAAUCCAGAUAUGACUAAUCAACUACGUCCUAAAUCUACAUUUAUGCCGCCGACAUUAAAUAGGGUGAUGAAUCAGCUUUAACUUCAUUUGUGAAUUACCUGAAUUCCAUUGAAUCCACGAUACGUUUUACGGUUUCCUGGAGUUCGUCCACGAUAUCCUUUUUGGAUAUCCUUAUCAAUUUUGAUGCAGGUAAAUUCUCCACGAGUAUAUACCGUAAACCUACGGACCGUAAUACACAGGCAUAGAAUUACAUGUCAAUCCAUGUUUGUAGUCUAUAUUAUUAUUUGCCCGUGCGUCUUAUAUUACACUGGAAAGACUAUACAAAAACUGAAAGAUAGAUUCAUUAAGCAUAAAAGUGUCAUUAAGCUGGGAAAGGAAUCUACCCCUUUAGUGCAACACUGUAGGGAAUACAAUCAUAAUUUAUCGGCGUUACGUCUAAUGGGGAUUGACCAGAUAACUUCUUCUAUGGGGGGUGUUGAUAAGAACACUCUAUUAUUGCGACGUGAGGCGGAAUGGAUAUUUCGUCUCAAUACAGUAACUCCGUCUGGGCUUAAUGAUAUAUUAAAUUUAUCUUGCUUUCUGCAGACUAGAUGAGAGGUCUCUUAUGGAUUCUCUUGCUCAGCCUCUACAUAUGCCUUGAUCUUCUGUUCUCGAAUAACCCUUCCUGAAUGUGUGAAGCUUUGGUGCUAUGGGGGAACGCAUGUGCGUUACAACUGGAUCUUUAGGAGACGCUGGGUUAUUUCUGGAAGUUGAGUUAACCGGAAGUGAUGUCAGGGGAGUGAUCCGCAUCUCUAAAUGUUUGAUGUAGGAUGCACGCUAUAUUGGAACGUAUUUGCUUUCCACCAGGAUACUAGGUGACGCUGCUUCACCCCCCACGAGUAGAGAGGCGGAAGUGACGUCAGACGCCGGAUCCCUAUCGAAUGGACUCAGCAUGGACUAUAAAAUGAUACAGACAGUAAGGCUCGUUCUGCCUUUUUGAUUUUUGUUAAUUUUUUGUGCCCCUGAUGAAGACCCUUAUGGUCGA